rnacentral:rRNA from 1 species
AACGAACGCUGGCGGCAUGCCUAACACAUGCAAGUCGAACGAUUGCCUUCGGGUGAUAGUGGCGCACGGGUGCGUAACGCGGGGGAAUCUGCCCUUAGGUUCGGAAUAACAGCUGGAAACGGCUGCUAAUGCCGGAUGAUAUCGCGAGAUCAAAGAUUUAUCGCCUGAGGAUGAGCCCGCGUUGGAUUAGGUAGUUGGUGGGGUAAAGGCCUACCAAGCCGACGAUCCAUAGCUGGUCUGAGAGGAUGAUCCGCCACACUGGGACUGAGACACGGCCCAGACUCCUACGGGAGGCAGCAGUGGGUAAUAUUGGACAACGGGCGCAAGCAUGAUCCAGCAAUGCCGCGUGAGUGAUGAAGGCCCUAGGGUUGUAAAGCUCUUUUACCCGGGAAGAUAAUGACUGUACCGGGAGAAUAGGCCCCGGCUAACUCCGUG